ensembl:snoRNA LOC120100343 small nucleolar RNA SNORA70
UCAAAGCAAAAUAAGGUGUUCCUCUUAAACGCUGUGUGACCGUAAACAGAAGCAACCUUGGGAGUAUAUGCAGCCUAUAUGGGUUUGCCUAAGGGACCUUGAAGACACUG